rnacentral:rRNA from 1 species
AGAACGAACGCUGGCGGCACGCCUAACACAUGCAAGUCGAGCGCCCAGCAAUGGGAGCGGCGGACGGGUGAGUAACACGUGGGAAUAUGCCUUUCGGUACGGAACAACUCAGGGAAACUUGAGCUAAUGCCGUAUACGCCCUUACGGGGAAAGAUUUAUCGCCGAAAGAUUAGCCCGCGUCUGAUUAGCUAGUUGGUGAGGUAAUGGCUCACCAAGGCUUCGAUCAGUAGCUGGUUUGAGAGAACGACCAGCCACACUGGGACUGAGACACGGCCCAGACUCCUACGGGAGGCAGCAGUGGGGAAUCUUGGACAAUGGGGGAAACCCUGAUCCAGCGAUGCCGCGUGAGUGAUGAAGGCCUUCGGGUUGUAAAACUCUUUCGACGGGGACGAUAAUGACGGUACCCGUAGAAGAAGCUCCGGCUAACGUUCGCGCCAGCAGCCGC